CCUACGGGUGGCAGCAGUGGGGGAUAUUGCACAAUGGGGGGAACCCUGAUGCAGCGACGCCGCGUGGGUGAAGGAGUGCUUCGGCAUGUAAAGCUCUAUCAGCAGGAAAGAAAAUGACGGUACCUGACUAAGAAGCCCCGGCUAACUACGUGUCAGCAGCCGCGGUAAUACGGAGGGGGCAAGCGUGAUCCGGAUUUACUGGGUGUAAAGGGAGCGUAGACGGCAGCGCAAGUCUGGAGUGAAAUGCCGGGGCCCAACCCCGGAACUGCUCUGGAAACUGUGAAGCUGGAGUGCAGGAGAGGUAAGCGGAAUUCCUGGUGUAGCGGUGAAAUGCGUAGAUAUCAGGAGGAACACCGGCGGCGAAGGCGGCUUACUGGACUGUAACUGACGUUGAGGCUCGAAGGCGUGGGGAGCAAACAGGAUUAGAUACCCCUGUAGUC
rnacentral:rRNA from 1 species